GACGAACGCUGGCGGCGUGCUUAACACAUGCAAGUCGAACGGAAAGGCCCUGCUUUUGUGGGGUGCUCGAGUGGCGAACGGGUGAGUGACACGUGAGUAACCUGCCCUUGACUUUGGGAUAACUUCAGGAAACUGGGGCUAAUACCGGAUAGGAGCUCCUGCUGCAUGGUGGGGGUUGGAAAGUUUCGGCGGUUGGGGAUGGACUCGCGGCUUAUCAGCUUGUUGGUGGGGUAGUGGCUUACCAAGGCUUUGACGGGUAGCCGGCCUGAGAGGGUGACCGGCCACAUUGGGACUGAGAUACGGCCCAGACUCCUAAGGGAGGCAGCAGUGGGGAAUAUUGCACAAUGGGCGGAAGCCUGAUGCAGCAACGCCGCGUGCGGGAUGACGGCCUUCGGGUUGUAAACCGCUUUCGCCUGUGACGAAGCGUGAGUGACGGUAAUGGGUAAAGAAGCACCGGCUAACUACGUG
rnacentral:rRNA from 1 species